rnacentral:misc_RNA from 1 species
GAUGAAGAACGUAGCGAAAUGCGAUACGUAAUGUGAAUUGCGGAAUUCAGUGAAUCAUCGAAUCUUUGAACGCAUAUUGCGCUCUCUGGUAUUCCGGAGAGCAUGCUUGUUUGAGUAUCAGUAAACACCUCAACUUCCAUAUCUUUUUUGAAAUGGGAGUUGGACUUGAGUGAUCCCAACGCUUUUCCUCACCGAAAAGUGGCGGGUUACUUGAAAUGCAGGUGCAGCUGGACUUUUCUCUGAGCUAUAAGCAUAUCUAUUUAGUCUGCCUAAAAAACAGAUUAUUACCUUUGCUGCAGCUAACAUAAAGGAGAUUAGUUCUUGUGCUGACUGAUGCAGGAUUCACAAAGACAGGCUUCGGCCGACUUUGUAAACUCGAUCUCAAAUCAAGUAAGACUACCCGCUGAACUUAAGCAUAUCAAUAAGCGGAGGA